AUCACUAUCCUCCCGGUCUCUGCGCGCAUUGUUCUCUCAUUCCCAUCCAGAGAGAGCUGCUGAACACACCGAGAGGACCAGCCGGUGUGGGGAAACAGACAGAGAGUAGCGGACCCUCCGUCGCAGAAACGCCCGGGAGCCACAUGCAAAACUCGGUCUGCACACAGGAUACGCGGCACUCCGUAGUUACAUAACUGGACUACUUUUUUUCUAUUAUUGUUGUGGGUUUUUCACGCUUUUUUUUUUUUUUGCACAAUCCCCACCUAAAAUGGAGAACGACGAGAAAUAUCUCCCGGAGCUGCUGGCGGAGAAGGACAGCCUGGACUCGUCUUUUACGCACGCAAUGAAACUUUUAAACGCAGAAAUUGAUAGAAUCCAGAAAGACGAGACUAAAAAGGAGGCAGACGACUACCUGGACCUUUUCACAACAAAGAACAUCAAACUUAAGGAACGAGUGCUCAUACCUGUCAAACAGUACCCGAAGUUCAAUUUUGUGGGGAAGAUUCUGGGACCUCAGGGCAACACAAUCAAACGUCUGCAGGAAGAGACCGGGGCCAAGAUCUCCGUGCUGGGCAAAGGAUCCAUGAGAGACAAAUCUAAGGAGGAGGGGCUGAGGAAAGCUGGCGAGCCCAAGUACGCCCACCUGUCCAUGGAGCUGCACGUGUUCAUCGAGGUGUUCGCCCCCGUGCCCGAGGCCUACCUGCGCAUGGCCCACGCCAUGGAGGAGGUCAAGAAGUUCCUGUUUCCUGAUAUGAUGGAUGAUAUCUGCCAAGAGCAGUUCCUGGAGAUGGGCUACCUGAACGGAGGCCAGGAUCACGGGGCCAGAGGCAGAGGGGGCCCUCCGGUCAGGGGCCGUGGACUCCCCCCUGGUGGAGCACACAGGGGUCGGGGGAUGCCCCCUCGCGGAGCUCCCGCCCGGGGAGGUGUAGCUCGAGGCGGCCCAGCCAGAGGUGGCGCAGUGAGGGGCGUCCCAUCGGGGCGAGGAGGACCCCCAGUAGCACCCGCCAGGGGAGCCUCGGCACCCCGCGCCAGGCCCCCAGCUGCAGGACCCCCCCAUAGGAUGGCACAUCCACCCCCACACCAGCACACCCCCACUGCAGCCUCUGAGGGCUACGAGGAAUAUGGCUAUGAUGAGAGCUACACAGACACGGCCUACGAGUCAUACGACAGCUAUUACAGUCAGCCGCAGGCAGAGGCAGAGUACUACGACUACGGACACGGGGAGAGCACGGAGUCGUACGAGUCGUAUGGCCAGGACGACUGGAACGGGACCCAGCGAGCGUCCACAGGGAAGGCCCCGCCCCCCUCCAGAGGUGCCAAGACGCCUUACCGGGAGCACCCGUACCGACAGUACUGAAGCGGACGGACGCGCCGAAACCUUAACGCGUCGCCACGACAACCGCCUGUCUACCACGGCGGCUCUCGCUUUAAGCAGCCCGACAAAAGCACAGCUAUCGGUCACUGAGAGCCCGGAGACUGACAGUCUGCUGAAGUGAGACCAAACAAGCCUCAGGGAAGCCGUGCAUGGAGCAGCGCAGCAUGAAGGAGGCGGUCAGACGAGAGGCGCGACCCAAAGCCCCAGCUCUGUUUCUAGAAGGAAGGGGGUGGGGGGGGGGAGGGGGGUUCUGGUGGCCGGCUGCCAAGCGACCCACAGGAUGCAGCUGAUGAGGACGUGAGGAGAGGAGGCUGGGGAUCCAGAAUAACCAGAGACGUUUCAUGUGGACUAUUUUCUCCAUUUUCUCCAUGUUGAAUUACGAUGCAUCACAUGUGAUACUCUGAAGACACACACUUGAAGCUCCCUCUGAUGUCACGCUGCUUCUACAGACCACCCUCUCUUCCAACAAAUGUAAUUGUUCCAGCUAAAUUCACCAUAAAAUGAGUGCUCCUGUUUUAGCAUGCUGUGAAAUUGUUUUUAAUUUCUAUUAGCUCUUUGAUUCGACAUGGAAAAGAGUAUUUUUAUUUUCCGCAAGGCACGCUAAAUUCGUGCAGCAUCGUGUGCACGUGUAUUUUAUUAUUUUACAUUGCUUGUUAUUUGCUACCCGUGCCUUAUUGCAGCGUGAAAUUAGACUCUGUGUUCAGGAGUUAAAGAUGCCCGGAGAGUGUGGAUCACUAUCUCGCUCAGUACACACACACACACACACACACCCACACACACACUCUCACACACCACCACAUCUUGGCAUAGCACGGCCUGUCCAAGCCCUGAGGAUAUCAAAUGCUAAUGCAGCGGCCUUAUUUGCAUGUACUCACAUGUAGCCUCCCCGCAACACUUUCUCAAACAACGCUUGGCCCGCUCUCAGCGCGUCAGCAUCUAUUUAUGAUAAUAGAGCGAGACGGACUCGGGCGGAGAGCUGCAUGUGAGGAAGGGACAGAGGGUGAACACCGACAUUACUGACUUCCCUUCCAUCCAUCCAUCAUUCCUCUGUUGAUUUGAUUCCCUCUUUGCCAUUUUCUGCCAUUAUCACUGAUGAUAUUACGACUGCCUGUGGUGCAGAGUUACAUUUAGAGGUCAAAACUGUACUUUCCUAUAUUAAAAACACAUUUCUCUCCCCCGAUUCGCCGGUCAAAGGCUCCAUUUAGCUUAUUGAAAAAGCUAACAGCUCAGAAGAUUCAACAUUAGAUAUUAGGGUAGAAACCAUCAUGUGGAAUGAAACGUCAACAGGCCAUAUCCAAAACAGAUCAUUUUUCAGUCUUUAUGUGCUAUUAUGUCUAAAAUAAUGAUUUCUGUGUCUCCUAUAAUCUAAUGAAAGAUAAGUGAUGGUGGUGGAAGCCAUCUGCUUUGUUGGAAUCGAUGAACUGUCAAGAGCGGGAGGGUGGAAAAGAAAGUAAAUGUUGCUGUGCGGUGAUCAAUAAAAGUAGACUUGAAAAUGA